GGCAGAUAGUGUGCAGCAUCAACCUCAAUGUCUUUGUGACUUUAUCAAGUCUUCUGCUCUUCCCCUGUGCACGUGAUUUGUCUUCAGUGUUGGUGACUCUUCAGGAAGGGACUCUCUUCAUGGGACAUGGAUGAGACAAGGCUCCUUCUACCAGUUGCUCUGGCUGGCUUGCCACCUUCCUGCAUACAAAAGAAGUCGUGCUGUGCUGAAGCCGUGUUACCUCUCCGUUACGACCUAUCCUUUGAGAGCCCGCCUGGCUGUCAGCAGGCAGGGGAGAGCCACACCGAUGGGAAACACACCACCCGUAACAGCUGGCCGCUGCCUAUGGUUACUGCUAUGCUAAAGCCACGGGUCUUCUUGAAACCAGAUUUCACUGGUACCUCUGGAGCUUUCCUUGCCUACAAAGUUUUACCAGGUGGAUGUUAGGAUUUUUUUUAUUUCUUCUUUUAGUUCCUGUGAGUUGGGUGUUGACAUAUGCAGAAGCAGUACUCUUGAACAAGCCUUUUCCAG